rnacentral:rRNA from 1 species
UACGUAGGACCCAAGCGUUAUCCGGAAUUACUGGGCGUAAAGAGUUGCGUAGGCGGCUUGUUAAGCAAGGUGUGAAAUCGUACGGCUCAACCGUGCACACAUGCUUUGAACUGGCAAGCUAGAGAGUGAGAGAGGUUAUUGGAAUUCCAAGUGUAGGAGUGAAAUCCGUAGAUAUUUGGAGGAACACCGAUGGCGUAGGCAGAUAACUGGCUCACUUCUGACGCUCAGGCACGAAAGCGUGGGGAGCAAAUGGG